rnacentral:rRNA from 1 species
AGAAUCAACGCUGGCGGCGUGCCUAACACAUGCAAGUCGAACGAGAAAGUGGAGCAAUCCAUGAGUAAAGUGGCGCACGGGUGAGUAACACGUGACUAACCUACCCUUGAGUGGGGGAUAACCUAGAGAAAUCUGGGCUAAUACCGCAUAAUACCUUCGGGUCAAAGGAGCAAUUCGCUUAAGGAGGGGGUCGCGGCCGAUUAGUUAGUUGGCGGGGUAAUGGCCCACCAAGACUAUGAUCGGUAUCCGGCCUGAGAGGGCGCACGGACACACUGGAACUGAAACACGGUCCAGACUCCUACGGGAGGCAGCAGUGGGGAAUUUGCGCAUGGGGGAAACCCUGACGCAGCAACGCCGCGUGGAGGAUGAAGUCCCUUGGGACGUAAACUCCUUUCGAUCGGGACGAUAAUGACGGUACCGAGAGAAGAAGCCCCGGCUAACUUCGUGCCAGCAGCCGC